rnacentral:rRNA from 1 species
UACGUAGGGUGCGAGCGUUAAUCGGAAUUACUGGGCGUAAAGCGUGCGCAGGCGGCUUUGCAAGACAGAUGUGAAAUCCCCGGGCUUAACCUGGGAACUGCAUUUGUGACUGCAAGGCUAGAGUACGGCAGAGGGGGAUGGAAUUCCGCGUGUAGCAGUGAAAUGCGUAGAUAUGCGGAGGAACACCGAUGGCGAAGGCAAUCCCCUGGGCCUGCACUGACGCUCAUGCACGAAAGCGUGGGGAGCAAACAGG